rnacentral:misc_RNA from 1 species
GAUGAAGAACGUAGCGAAAUGCGAUAAGUAAUGUGAAUUGCAGAAUUCAGUGAAUCAUCGAAUCUUUGAACGCACCUUGCGCCCUUUGGCUAUUCCAGAGGGCAUGCCUGUUUGAGUAUCAUGAACACCUCAACUCUCAUGGUUCUGCCAUGAUGAGCUUGGACUUUGGAGGUCUUGCUGGCCCCAGUGGUCAGCUUCUCUCAAAUGGAUCAGCUUGCCAGUGUUUGGUGGCAUCACAGGUGUGAUAACUAUCUACGCUUGUGGUUUUCCCCCAGGUAACCUUCAGUGAUGGAGGUUCGCUGGAGCUCAUAAACGUCUCUCCUCAGCGAGGACAGCUUCUUGAACGUUUGAUCUCAAAUCAGGUAGGGCUACCCGCUGAACUUAAGCAUAUCAAUAAGCGGAGGA